rnacentral:rRNA from 1 species
UACGUAGGUGGCAAGCGUUAUCCGGAAUUAUUGGGCGUAAAGAGCGCGCAGGUGGUUAAUUAAGUCUGAUGUGAAAGCCCACGGCUUAACCGUGGAGGGUCAUUGGAAACUGGUUGACUUGAGUGCAGAAGAGGGAAGUGGAAUUCCAUGUGCAGCGGUGAAAUGCGUAGAGAUAUGGAGGAACACCAGUGGCGAAGGCGGCUUCCUGGUCUGCAACUGACACUGAGGCGCGAAAGCGUGGGGAGCAAACAGG